AACGAACGCUGGCGGCAGGCCUAACACAUGCAAGUCGAGCGAGGACUUCGGUCCUAGCGGCGGACGGGUGAGUAACGCGUGGGGACGUGCCCUUUGCUACGGAAUAGCCCCGGGAAACUGGGAGUAAUACCGUAUGUGCCCGAGAGGGGAAAGAUUUAUCGGCAAAGGAUCGGCCCGCGUUGGAUUCGGUAGUUGGUGGGGUAAUGGCCUACCAAGCCGACGAUCCAUAGCUGGUUUGAGAGGAUGAUCAGCCACACUGGGACUGAGACACGGCCCAGACUCCUACGGGAGGCAGCAGUGGGGAAUCUUAGACAAUGGGCGCAAGCCUGAUCUAGCCAUGCCGCGUGAGCGAUGAAGGCCUUGGGGUUGUAAAGCUCUUUCAGUGGGGAAGAUAAUGACGGUACCCACAGAAGAAGCCCCGGCUAACUCCGUGCCAGCAGCCGCCGUAAUAC
rnacentral:rRNA from 1 species